UACGUAGGGUGCGAGCGUUAAUCGGAAUUACUGGGCGUAAAGCGUGCGUAGGCGGUUCGUUAAGUCAGCUGUGAAAGCCCCGGGCUCAACCUGGGAACUGCGGUUGAAACUGGCGAACUAGAAUCUGGCAGAGGGGGGUGGAAUUCCACGUGUAGCAGUGAAAUGCGUAGAGAUGUGGAGGAACACCGAUGGCGAAGGCAGCCCCCUGGGCUGAGAUUGACGCCUCAGGCACGAAAGCGUGGGGAGCAAACAGG
rnacentral:rRNA from 1 species